rnacentral:sRNA from 1 species
UACAGUGGUACAAGAUACGACCAUGAACAGAGAGGGAGACAAACUCUUAGUCAUUCACCUAGGCAACAGCGGGAUAAACAUCGUUAUUCAAGGGACCGAUCUCGUAGUCUGUCACCUGUAAGAAAGGAGGAUAGAUAUCGUUUUUCAAGGGAUCGAUCUCGUAGUCAGACUCCGAUACAAAAGGAGGAUAGUUAUUCAACGGACCGGCGAGGAAGAUCACGUUCUCCACGAUCACAUAUGAGGCAGAG